rnacentral:rRNA from 1 species
UAUCUCUGUAGAGUCUGUAUAUCAAUAAGCGGAGGAAAAGAAACUAACAAGGAUUCCCUUAGUAACGGCGAGUGAAGCGGGAAGAGCUCAAAUUUGAAAUCUUCAAGGUUCUACCUUGACGAAUUGUAGUUUAAAGAAGUGUUUUCUGUUAGAUGAGUAGCAAAAGUUCCUUGGAAUGGGACAUCAUAGAGGGUGAGAAUCCCGUAUUUGGUUAUUCAUUCUAGCUUUGUGAUACACUUUCAAAGAGUCGGAUUGUUUGGGAAUGCAGUCCAAAAUGGGUGGUAAAUUUCAUCUAAAGCUAAAUAUUGGCGAGAGACCGAUAGCGGAACAAGUACCGUGAGGGAAAGAUGAAAAGAACUUUGAAAAGAGAGUUAAACAGUACGUGAAAUUGUCAAAAGGGAAGCGUUUGACACCAGUGUUGUUUUUCCGAAAAUCAAUUACGAAUGGCUUGAUUUUGUGUUGUAUUGACCUUAUCAGCUUUCUUCACUUUUUUCGAGUCUUUCUUAAUGCACUUUUCGGUUAACAAGUCAACAUCAAUUUCUUUUGUUGUAAAAGAGUAUUCGGAAGGUGGCUUUCUUUUCGGAGAAAGUGUUUAUAGCCCUAUACUUCUACAAUCGGAGAGAUUGAGGUCUGCAGCGUAGAUCCUUCGGGGUUAGAUACACUUGUGCUAAGUUGUAGCUUUUCAUAGACAACUUGUUGACUAUGUUUAGUCAUGCGGCUUACUCGCUUGUGCUAUUUUACCUACGCUUAGGAUGUUGACUGAUAUGUAGUCGUA